rnacentral:rRNA from 1 species
CCUACGGGAGGCUGCAGUGGGGAAUAUUGCACAAUGGGGGAAACCCUGAUGCAGCGACGCCGCGUGAGUGAAGAAGUAUUUCGGUAUGUAAAGCUCUAUCUGCAGGAACGAGACAAGACGGUACCUGACUAAGAAGCCCCGGCUAACUACGUGCCAGCAGCCGCGGUAAUACGUAGGGGGCAAGCGUUAUGCGGAAUCACUGGGUGUAACGGGAGCGUAGACGGCUGAGCAAGCCUGAAGGGAAAGGCGGGGGCCCAACCCCUGGACUGCUUUGGGAACUGUACGGCUGGAGUGCAGGAGAGGUAAGUGGAAUGCCUAGUGUAGCGGUGAAAUGCGUAGAUAUUAGGAGGAACACCAGUGGCGAAGGCGGCUUACUGGACUGUAACUGACGUUGAGGCUCGAAAGCGUGGGGAGCAAACAGGAUUAGAUACCCGGGUAGUC